AUGGGUCGACGGCAUGCCAGGCCCCAUCGGUGCCAGGGUGGGAGGGGCAACCGCUCCACCACUUCCCAGACAAGGCACCCCGAGACCCCUGAAACAGCCGAGUCUCUGCUGCCUCCGUGGCCCAGCCUGAAAGUUUCAUUUCCCAGGUGGGAGAAGGGAGACAACAAAGAAAGUGAGAAUGCUGAGGCCUCGGGGCCCAGGGUGGCAUCCGAGGCUCCGUCUGCCUCUCCUGGGAGUGUCCGGCAGCCCCGCCAGUCUCCUGGGGCUCUCCCCUCCCUCUGCGCCUGCCCAGCCAGGGGCGGGGGCCACUCUGAUUUCAAUGGCUCGCGUCCUUCACAGCAACACUUUGGUUUGAGGAGUGACACAGAGAAACAAGGAGAUGGAGAGAGCUUCUUCAGUUGAUUGGGGGGGGGGCGGGGAGCUUGGGGCUCUUCACCCCCGUCCCUGACACCCUCUCUCAGCCCUGCCCACCCGCUUCCAUCCGCCCUGGCUGAGGGACAGGCCCGGCCCCAGCCGCCCCUCCAGCUUUCCCGAAGACGACGUCCAUGAGGUAUUUGUGAAGAGAAAGAAGCAUCCAUCCUUCCAUCCGCCUCGGGGACCAAAGGCCUGGACCAGUGGUGCAGGGGCCUGGCUCCACCUCGCGGCUCCUUCUUAUUCGUUGAAGAGUCCUCGUCUUCUUUCCCUUAAAUAUAUAUAUAUCUAUAAAUUCUUUCUUUUUUCCUAGUUUUAAUUUAUUGUUUGGUUUGUUUUUUUUUUUUGGUUCAAAACUUUGUUGGCCUCCCCAGUAGCAGGAGGGCAACGUGGCUCCCAGCAGCGUCUCUCCUCUUCCGUAGAGAUGCGUCCGGGGCUGGGCAAACAUGGGGUCCAGCCAAGACUCGAGGGAGGUCUCAUGGGAGUGGUGGUCACCACAGCGCCCACUCGGAUGGGGACCACGGGCCAUGGCACUGUCCCUGCCACACCGACCCUGAUGGGGACGCCAUCUGGAGGAACCCCACCACUGGGGUGUGUGCGUGCGUGUGUGCGUGUGGGGUGGAGAGGGGAGGGAGAGGCAUCUGCCAGGAUCAGAGGGGCACAGGGCGGGGAAGAGCGAGGUGAGUUCUCUUUUUGGUUUCUGGUCAAAAAUGUCAAAGAACGUGAAGGAUCCCACGGAUAGGCACUGGAAUAUGAAUUUUUUUUUUUCUUUAAGGGAAACUGACAGACGAGGAUGGAAAAAAAGACAACUUCUACGCCCUCACCUUCUCCUCUCUUGCCUGAAACUUCCUCCUUCCCUUGGACCAGGGAUAGUGGGAGGUUCCAGAACUGAGGAGGGUGACGGGUGGGCAGGGUGGGGUGGGGUAGGGGGAACAUGUGAGAGCUAGAGCUUGGCAAAAUGGCCCAGCCCACCCUUCAAAGGGAAAGGGCGGGGGAGGUAAAAGGGCUGAAAAGUCAUCCCAGGCCUUGCCUGGAACUCUCCCCUGGGUGGGGGAGGGAGGAGGUUAAAGUGGGAGUCCCGGGGAAGGGGGGACACAUGACAGGGACACAUUCUGUCGAGCACAACGCUAAAAAUUCUGUACAUCCUUUGGAUGAAGCUACUGAAUAUUUGGUGUAAGUUUGUUCACGCCCUUUCUCUUUCACCUUCUGGAAAAGAGUAUUUGGUGGGUGGUUCUGAGCCCACCCCCCCACCCCCCACCGCAGGCCGUGCCCUGUCUUGGCUGGCCCAGGGCCGGGGGUACAGGCUGGGAGGCUGGCACAUUCUCUUCUUCCUUUUCUGGCCACCGCCCCCCCCAGGGGGGAGCCCUGGCCCUACAGCCAGGGGUCGUGUAAGGUCCGCCCUACUGAGGCCGCUCUGCCCCUGGCUGGGUGCUUAUUUGGUGUCAUAGCAGUGAGGGUGAGCACGUUGAGGUCUGGCUCCAGACUGGUAUUUGGUUUGUUCGGUUUGGUGAGGAAUUUUUUGUUUGUUUUUUGUUUGAAUGUUUGUUUUUCACCUCUGGUUCCUUUGGGGCAGCUGGUUUCUUUGUGAUUAUUUUUGGUUUUCUUUUUUCUGUUGGUUGAUUUCUUUUUUUUUUUCUUUUUGGUUUGUUGGUUGGUCUUUUGUUUUUUAUUUUUUGGUCUUUCCUCCCUUGUCACUCCUGCUCCGAGGACCCUCGGUGCCCCCACCGCCGGCCUCCUCACCUGCUUCCCAGGCGGGGGGUGGAGCCGGGGGCGGGGGGUC
ensembl:lncRNA